AAGAAGGUAUUAUUUAUCGUAACCUUCUUUUGUAAGAAGAGUAAAGUGCACUACGUGUAGUGUAUUGCAAGUACCUUACGAAUAAGCAUCGGCUAAUUCCGUGCCAGCAGCCGCGGUAAUACGGAAGAUGCAAGUGUUAUCCGGAUUUAUUGGGUUUAAAGGGUGCGUAGGUGGUCUAAUAAGUCAGUGGUGAAAUCUCUUUGCUUAACAAGGAAAUUGCCAUUGAAACUGUUAGACUUGAGAAUGGACGAGGUAGGCGGAAUUCGUAGUGUAGCGGUGAAAUGCAUAGAUAUUACGAAGAACUCCAAUAGUGUAGACUGCUUACCAGACCAUAUCUGACACUAAGGCACGAAAGUGUGGGUAUCAAACAGGAUUAGAUACCCUGGUAGUCCACACAGUAAACGAUGAAUACUAACUGUUUGCGAUAUACAGCAAGUGGUCGAGCGAAAGCGUUAAGUAUUCCACCUGGGAAGUAUGCCGGCAACGGUGAAACUCAAAGGAAUUGACGGGGGCCCGCACAAGCGGAGGAACAUGUGGUUUAAUUCGAUAAUACGCGAGGAACCUUACCCGGGCUCGAACGAUAUUUGAAUACAUCCGAAAAGAUGUAGCUAGCAAUAGCAAAUACCGAGGUGCUGCAUGGUUGUCGUCAGCUCGUGCCGUGAGGUGUCGACUUAAGUGUCAUAACGAGCGCAACCCUUACCGAUAGUUACCAUCAGAUAAUGCUGGGGACUCUAUUGGGACUGCCACCGUAAGGUGUGAGGAAGGAGAGGAUGACGUCAAAUCAGCACGGCCCUUAUGUCCGGGGCGACACACGUGUUACAAUGGGAGAAACAAAGGGUCGCUACCUGGCAACAGGAUGCUAAUCUCGAAAAUCUCUCUCAGUUCGGAUUGGAGUCUGCAACUCAACUCCAUGAAGCUGGAUUCGCUAGUAAUCGCACAUCAGCCAUGGUGCGGUGAAUACGUUCCCGGGCCUUGUACACACCGCCCGUCAAGCCAUGGAAGCUGGAAGUACCUGAAGUAUGUAACUGAAAAGAGCGUCCU
rnacentral:rRNA from 1 species